AUUGAACGCUGGCGGCAUGCCUUACACAUGCAAGUCGAACGGUAACGGGCCUUCGGGUGCCGACGAGUGGCGCACGGGUGAGUAAUACAUCGGAACGUGCCCGAUCGUGGGGGAUAACGAGGCGAAAGCUUUGCUAAUACCGCAUACGAUCUACGGAUGAAAGCAGGGGACCGCAAGGCCUUGCGCGGACGGAGCGGCCGAUGGCAGAUUAGGUAGUUGGUGGGAUAAAAGCUUACCAAGCCGACGAUCUGUAGCUGGUCUGAGAGGAUGAUCAGCCACACUGGGACUGAGACACGGCCCAGACUCCUACGGGAGGCAGCAGUGGGGAAUUUUGGACAAUGGGCGCAAGCCUGAUCCAGCCAUGCCGCGUGCAGGAUGAAGGCCUUCGGGUUGUAAACUGCUUUUGUACGGAACGAAAAGCCUUCUUUUAAUACAGGAGGGUCAUGACGGUACCAGAAGAAUAAGCACCGGCUAACUACGUG
rnacentral:rRNA from 1 species